ACAAUAAAAUUACAUAUUGUUCGCCAAAUAACUACGAGUAAAAACUUAAAAUUUAAAAGACUUGACGGUACCCCACAACAACCUAGAGGAGCCUGUUCAAUAACCGAUACUCCACGAUUAAUCCAACCUUCCAUAGCCUACCAGUCUAUAUACCGCCGUCGCCAGCCUACCUUAUGAAAGAAACAAAGUAAGCCAAACAGCCACACACUAACACGACAGGUCGAGGUGUAACUCAUGGGAAGGACCAGAAUGGGCUACAUUAUCUAACCCAGAUAACACGGAUAAACUGUGAAACAAGAAAUUAAAGGCGGAUUUAGCAGUACACUAUGAACAUAAUACUUAGUCGAAAUUAACGCAAUGGAGUGCGUACACACCGCCCGUCAUCCC
rnacentral:rRNA from 1 species